GACGAAGGUGGCAAGCGUUGUUCGGAUUCACUGGGCAUAAAGGGCGCGUAGGCGGUUCCGAAAGUGGCAUGUGAAAUCCCCCGGCUCAACCGGGGAAGUGCGUGCCAAACUUCGGUGCUAGAGGGCGGUAGGGGGGACUGGAACUCUCGGGUGGAGCGGUGAAAUGCGUAGAUAUCGAGAGGAACACCGGUGGCGAAGGCGAGUCCCUGGUCCGCUUCUGACGCCUGAGGCGCGAAAGCGUGGGUAGCAAACAGG
rnacentral:rRNA from 1 species